UACGUAGGGUGCAAGCGUUGUCCGGAAUUAUUGGGCGUAAAGAGCUUGUAGGCGGUUUGUCGCGUCUGCUGUGAAAUUUCGGGGCUCAACCCCGAACUUGCAGUGGGUACGGGCAGACUAGAGUGUGGUAGGGGAGACUGGAAUUCCUGGUGUAGCGGUGAAAUGCGCAGAUAUCAGGAGGAACACCGGUGGCGAAGGCGGAUCUCUGGGCCGUAACUGACGCUGAGGAGCGAAAGCAUGGGGAGCGAACAGG
rnacentral:rRNA from 1 species